GACAUGGUGGCGUUUGUUUUGGUAUUUGCUACAGAAAGACAAAAUAACAACUUUUUUUGCACAUGAACAGCUGCGGAAAGAUACAUUGACUUCUCCCGUGGAUGAUGAUGCUCGACGCAAGUACUUUUGACGUAUAUGAAUACUGGAAACACUUCUCAUGAUCUCGGGUGGCAUCAGUGUUAACCCUUAUCAGGAGUCCAUGAACAAUAUUCUCCAGCUGUCAUCAUAUAGAGGCAAACCUGAUGAAUGGGUGGACACAUCACCUCACACAAAGAUAAUGAAGUAUCAUCAAGAAAGCAAGCAAGACCAGAACUUUCCUCCAGUGCAAAUAAGUAGCCAGCCCCCUGCAUUUGGAGAUGCUACCGUACAUUCGUUUGACCAACAGGGCCAACAACAACAGCAUCACAAUGGUCCAGUGAUAAACUGCACAGGUCAUCACCUAAACAUACUUUCGGAGACAGCGUGUCACAGCCAUCCCUCCCUUCCUCCCUUUAGGAAUCAAGUUCAGAGGGUGGGUCAGGAUCGGUUUACGUUCGCAUGUGCCAGGGGGGUGAGACAACACCUUGGCUGGUCAGAGCAUGGGAAAUCACACCUCCCCCCUCCCACGACCAUGGGAGUUAGGGUUGGGGUGUCCGGCUCGCAGGUUUACCCUGGCACAAUCGCAUAAGUUGAAUGAUGUCAACGCUAGGGCGAGCGCGAUACAUAGGGCAUGCGUAGUGCGUAACUGUACUCCCCGCAAUAACAAUAUUCAUGUCUUGGCUACAAGGGCUCACUGCUGUUGUGCCCUUGAGCAAGGUACUUUAUCCCGGUUUGCUUGGAGAGGGCAGAGACUUUCAUAAGUCACUAGUGAGGAGAUACGCUUCCUCUGCUGCCCUAGCUACAGGUUGCCCUUAGGCAAGGCAUAGCACCUGUUCAGCCUCCCAUACCAGGGUUACGGUUAAUAGAUAUCCAUACUAUAGUGGAUACAUACGAGUGAUUGAACACAGUGUUGAAUAUAACAUAACUGGAGGGAAGGAUGACCAUAGCCAAAGGUGUGUUACUAAACUUGAUAAUCUACAACCAAGAAGGCAAGCAACUUCAGUCUUUUUCCUGCAAGGUUUCCUAUAGAGAAGAAGAAGAAGAAGAA